rnacentral:tRNA from 1 species
GCAUUGGUGGCUCAGUGGUAGAAUUCUCGCCUGACAUGCAGGAGACCUGGGUUUGAUUCUUGGCCAAUGUA